rnacentral:rRNA from 1 species
GAUGAACGCUGGCGGCGUGCCUAAUACAUGCAAGUCGAGCGAACAGACGAGGAGCUUGCUCCUCUGACGUUAGCGGCGGACGGGUGAGUAACACGUGGAUAACCUACCUAUAAGACUGGGAUAACUUCGGGAAACCGGAGCUAAUACCGGAUAAUAUAUUGAACCGCAUGGUUCAAUAGUGAAAGACGGUUUUGCUGUCACUUAUAGAUGGAUCCGCGCCGCAUUAGCUAGUUGGUAAGGUAACGGCUUACCAAGGCAACGAUGCGUAGCCGACCUGAGAGGGUGAUCGGCCAACCCGGAACUGAGACACGGUCCAGAAUCCUAAGGGAGGGAGCAGUAGGGAAUCUUCCGGAAUGGGCGAAAGCCUGACGGAGCAACGCCGCGUGAGUGAUGAAGGUCUUCGGAUCGUAAAACUCUGUUAUUAGGGAAGAACAAAUGUGUAAGUAACUAUGCACGUCUUGACGGUACCUAAUCAGAAAGCCACGGCUAACUACGUG